rnacentral:misc_RNA from 1 species
UGGAGCCAUAGCAACAGGCAAGCUGGUUCUGUUAGAUUCAAGAUCUUCACCUGAUUGGAUCAGCAAUCCAGAAUCACUGCUCAAUAAGGCUGCUGAAAUCGGAGGAGGAGUAUUUGGAACAGUUUACAAGGUUUCUUUGGGUGGUUCAGAGGGAAGAAUGGUAGCAAUUAAAAAGCUUGUUACAUCCAAUAUAAUCCAGUAUCCAGAAGACUUUGAUCGAGAAGUUCGAAUAUUAGGAAAAGCAAGUCACCCAAAUCUCAUAUCACUGAAAGGCUAUUACUGGACACCUCAAUUGCAGUUGUUGGUAUCAGAAUUCGCACCCAAUGGUAGCUUACAAGCAAAACUCCAUGGCAGGCUACCUUCUACUCCACCUCUUUCUUGGGCUAACAGAUUCAAAAUUGUGCUUGGAACAGCCAAGGGGCUUGCUCACUUGCAUCAUUCCUUCCGUCCACCAAUCAUUCACUAUAGCAUAAAACCCAGCAAUAUCCUUCUUGAUCAGAAUUACAACCCAAAGAUUUCAGAUUUUGGACUUGCGAGGCUUUUGACAAAGCUUGAUAAGCAUGUCAUAAGUCUCGCAAGUGAGCGCAUUGGGGUACGUGGCACCAGAACUAGCAUGCCAGAGCUUGAGGGUGAAUGAGAAAUGUGAUGUAUAUGGUUUUGGAAUUUUGAUUCUUGAGCUUGUGACAGGAAAAAGGCCGGUUGAAUAUAGUGAAGAAAACGUGAUGAUACUAAACGAUCAUGUGAGGGUUUUAGUUGAGCAAGGGAACGCCUUGGAUUGUGUUGAUCCUAGCAUGGGGGAUUAUCCAGAUGGUGAAGUCUUGCCAGUGCUCAAAUUGGCCCUGGUGUGUACCUCUCACAUUCCAUCCAGCAGGCCUUCAAUGGCAGAAGUGGUGCAAAUCUUGCAGGUCAUCAAGACCCCAGUUCAACAGAGAAUGGAAAUCUUCUAGUUAAAGAAGCUAAUUAUUUCUUGUGUCACUUUUCUUUUGAUUGAUGUUAAUUUGGUUACCUGGCUUUCUGUUUGAUCAUUUCUGUAAUAUUAUAAGCAAUUUUCUUCCCCCGUCAAAAUU